rnacentral:ncRNA from 2 species
GGGGAAGCCGGUAAAAGCCGGCGCUGACCCGCAACCGUGAGCGAGCCCUGUCUCGCGAGCCGGAAUGCCC